CAAGUUUUACCGGUGGUAUGAAGCAAAUGCAUCUGCUAUCUUUCAUCUUUAUAACUGUACUUGGUUUCUCUAACGUAUUUCGCGAUUCAAAAUUACUUACUAGCAAGGGAAAUGCAAUGCUUGCUCAAUCUGUUUCAGAAAGUUGAGUAGUAAAUGGCAUAUUUCCCAUAGCAUCUAAAGGCAACAUGAGCGCCAGUGUGGAGACGCAAUACGUCCAGAUGUUUCCAGUUUGUCCUACCUCCUCCGUCCGCUUUGGAUGCCCGUGCUGGGUCUGGAGAAGGAGAGCAAUGGAAAUAAAGGGUUGCCUUUCAGACUCUCACGGAAUAGAGAAAACAUACGUUUUGUUGGACAAAUGGUGAAGUCGUCCAAGCAGAGAUGCUUAAGAGAUCUCUUCCUACUUCACCCCCUGUUAAAUACGCGACUAAAGCCAGAAAAUGGUGACGCUGAGGAGAAGAGGGUGUUACAUAAAAGGAGACGUGAUGUGCACGUUGCUGCUACUGCUGCUCUUCUCCUUGUUGCUCUAUGUGCGACAGGUCCUUUUGUCCUCUGGGUGGGACAAGCCAGCAUGGAGUCUGGAAAUCCUUCGUCCCACCAGCCCCAGUCGGACCCUGCUAGGAUCCAACAGAGUCAGAGUGUCCCAGGAGCCCCUGCCGUAUGCAGCCAGCCCCUCUGAGCCUCAGCUACCUCUCUGUGAACACAAGUCAAAACGUCCUAAGCCCAAGUCCAAAGCUCAGUCUAAAUCCAAAGGAAAGUCCAAGUCUCGACAGAAGAGCAUCACACCGACCAAGACGAGCGGCGCGCCUGUGCCGACAUUGCCGCUGUUUGACUUUGUGCGCUAUAUGCGAGAGAAGGACAACCGCAACUUCCGUCUGCUAAUAGAUCAACCGCAGAAAUGUCAGCUGGGAGGAUCCGAACGAGCCGGAGAAAACCGCGAGCUUUACAUGCUCAUUGCAGUGAAAUCUGUUGCUGCAGAUUUUGAUAAGCGGCAGGUGGUACGUCGGACCUGGGGUAAAGAAGGCGGGUCUGUCCGCACCGUCUUCCUGUUGGGGGUGCCCAAGAAUCGCACUGCCUUACCUCUGUGGGAUCAGCUGCUGACCUACGAGAGUCAAACCUUCGAGGACAUUCUUCUGUGGGACUUUGAGGACACCUUCUUCAACUUGACCUUAAAGGAAACGCACUUUCUGGAAUGGGUCAACCACACCUGUCCUCACGUCAAGUUCAUCUUCAAAGGGGAUGCCGAUGUUUAUGUGAACGUGGAGAACAUACUGGAGAUGCUUCAAGGUGAAAAGUCAAAUGAGGAUCUUUUCAUUGGCGAUAUAAUCGUCAACGCCAAACCCAUUCGGCGCCGCACUUCCAAGUACUACGUGCCAGAGUAUGUGUACGGCAGUGCUUUGUACCCGUCUUAUGCCGGGGGAGGAGGCUUCGUCAUGUCCGGGCAUACAGCGCGGAGGCUCAGCGUCUCCUGUCAACAAGUCGAGCUGUUCCCCAUCGAUGACGUGUUCCUGGGAAUGUGCCUCCAGCUGCUUGGAAUCAAGCCAUUGCGUCACCAAGGUUUUCGGACCUUCGGCAUUCCCCGUCCAUCGGCGGCACCUCACCUCCAGACGUUCGACCCGUGUUUUUACCGGGAGCUCAUGGUGGUUCACAGCCUCAGCGUGCCCCAGAUAUGGCUCAUGUGGAAGUUGUUGAAUGACCCCAAACUGAACUGUCACAACAGGUCCAGAUCAACAACCGGACCCUUCAGGUGGAGGACUGGAGAUUCAAAAGGGGAGGGGGAGACUGACUAUGAUGAGAAGGGAGUGUUUGUCACACACGAUUAACACCCUGCGGGGAAGACGUGGUCAAAUUUGAAAGGGCCGAGAUCCGAAGCACAGUCACGUGACACCUCAUCCCAAGUUGGCAGACCGACGAGAUGAGCAGACAUGCUUCUGUAUUUUUCCCCCCUGCGUUAAGGAGGCAUUAACGAAGGAUUCUAGCUUUUACUGCUCAAUGUGAUAUCAUUGUUCACAAAUGACUCACAUCAACUUUUUUUUUUGGUGAGAGUUGAUGUCAAACAACAGUCUUCAAUGUACUACAAAUGCGCUGUCAUGCAUACAUGAACGUGAGACGCUAAAAUGGAUGACAAAAUCUGGUUUACUUGAUUAAAUCUGUUCAAGUGUAAAGGUGACAAUAGCACUCAAAUAAUUAACGGGUUAAUUGUUUGUUGAGAACUGUAUCUUGUGAGGAUCUGAUUGUUGAUUAAUUGCAUAUGAAGGUGGGUCAGCCAAAAUGGUGUUUACCACUUAGCUGCAAACAACAGAGUUGACACGGGUUUAAAACUACCCAUAGUAUUGAGAUAAAGCUACUAUGAAAUGGGUUAGCAGGAUUUCCGUACACCUGUGGUUGAAAAAAAAAA